UGGGUGUUGCAGACAGCCUACCAAAGGUAUUCAAAGAGGGAAAGACAACAAGCAGAAUGUAUCACUAUAUGACAUACCGCCAGCUGGUGAGAUUUUGUUGGGGAAUACUUGGUAAGAACCACAGAAUGACAUCAUGUGCCAAUCAAAAGAUCUGUGCACAACAGCAUCCCUCUUGUUUGGUUCUUCCCACCGACUGCUGAGUGGA